AUGACACACAGACCCCUCGGCCUGCCACGAAGGACUCUGCCCGUCGGCCCCACACCCCUACCCAGUUUCCUGUCCUCCUGUGGCGCGGCCCUGCCCACUCUGCGUGUCUGCUCGGAUCCGUUUCUCGCCUUCGUCCGCUUCUGCUGUCCCUGCUCAUCCAAGCUGCAGCCUCCUUCCUGGAGGAGCCACCCCGGCCUCCUUCGGAGUACAGAGGCAGAACAAACUCAGACCCUCUGUUUCCACUGCUCAGAUGGGACAACACCCCCGCCUUUUUUUUUUUUUAAUCCAUUCUCCCGACUUGUGAAGUCCCUACUCCGUCCUGUCCCCAGAGCCGGUGCUGGCGCUCGGGGCGGGGCACCUGCCGAGGAGCGCUGCCCGGUGGGCGUCCUGUCCGCGUCCCGGGGCGGGGCGGGGGCGGCCCUGACCUGCGCGAGAAGCCGGGCCACAGACGCCGACCCGCAGGCAGGAAGGGUGGGGGUGAGGCUCGAGGCGGCCUCGCGGUGGUCCGGCCCGGAGGGCGCCCCACAGAGGCGGCAAGGCGGUGAUGCGGCUGAGCGCAGACGGAAGAGAAUCCCCCGGAGCGGUCGGCCCCUCCGCGCCUCCCGAGCGGCCACGGCCACGGCCCCGGCCCCGGCGCGGAGCCGACUCUGCGCAGCUUGAGAAACAGCAGCGACACCGCGUCAAAGAAGCUUCGUGGUUUGGCGGCUGAUAAUGCUUGUUUCUUUGGUGCUUUCUGAAAUAAGUAUCGCACACAAAGCUCUUCAUUCUGCCCGCGCAGCGAGCGGGAGGCUGGUCCGCGCUAAACGGUUCCCGAUCCUUUGGCUGGACCUUCUCCGAGAUGCACCUGCCCCGGCACCGCGCGGGCACGCCCCACCCCUGCCGCGGAAAGUCCACGCGCGACUCGGACGCCCUCCGCACUUAACUCCGAUAGCCUGCUGUUGGCCGGAAGCCUUACCCGUGGCACAUUUAUGCAUAUUCUGUGUAUUGUUUACUGUGUCCUCAUAAUAAAGUAAGCUAGAGAAAAGCCA
rnacentral:lncRNA from 1 species